UUGAGCCGUCAAGGGGUUGGUGCAUUCACGUGAUAUUUUAUAUGUCAGCUCUCCCUCUCAUCCAUUGUUCCCAAACCCCAAAUUUCUUCUCUUUCAGACGCAGACAUCCAUGGAUCCUCCACCAACACAGGCCAUAGAAGUUUCAACCAAGAAUAUCCAGUUUGAAGAAGAUGAACAAGACAGAGCCAUCAACGAAUGCUGUUCAUGCUUCUAUGACUGCUCGGGGAGCUGCUUCAAUUACUUGUGCUGCAACUUUUGCUAGAAAAACACACCUGUCUUCUCUACAUCGGAAUAUUUUUAUUUAUCUUUAAUAUAUACCGUGGAAAUCUUUGAAACUUUACGAAUCUAGGUAAUUUAUGCUUCUUAUUAUUCUGUAUUAUCUCUUCUUCUUCUUCUUCUUCUUACUGAGUUGAGAGUCACUCUGCCAAACUCUGUUUUAUGUAUUUCUCUUCUUACCUUCCUUCCAUUUUAUAUUUAUGGAAGGAAGACUAUCUUCACUAUAUUAAGCUCUGAAAAGGUUAAAUCAUUAGCAGAUUUUAGGGUUCAAUUUCUUGAAUUAGUCUUCAAGAAAUGAUAUUUGAAUAUCAGAAACAAGAGUUUUUCAAGGAUCAUGAACUGGGUGUCUGAGAUAUAUUCCGAUUUCUUCUUUUUGUUCUUCAAAAAAAUGAAAUGAGUGGAAACCCAGUUUGUAUAUCCGAUCGAUGAGGGUUAGGAUGAGAUAAUCAGAACAUUUGAAAA